UUCUUGCAGAGAAUGGUGAAUAUGAAGCCAACUGUGAGGUGAGGUUUAAUGGUGAUAUGGGUUUUGAGAUUAGUGAUCCACCUUGUACACAUAUUGUUAAUGUGAAGAGGAAGCAAUGUAGUUGUAGGUCAUGGCAACUAAAGGGAAUUCCUUGUGCACAUGCAAUUGCUGCAAUGCAUUACAAGGGAUGGAAUGUGGAGUCAUUUGUUGAUCACUGGUAUCAAAGGGAAACAUACCUGAAGGCAUAUGAUAAGUAUAUUCAACCAAUGACAAAUAUUAACAUGUGGCCAAGAAGCACAAAACCACCAAUUGAGCCACCUGAGAUUAUUCCCAUACCAGGAAGGCCAGGUAAAAAUAGAAAGAAAGCUAAGGAUGAAGCUGUUAAGAAGAAGUUUGGAAAGGCUACAUGAAAGGAAAGAAAGAUGACAUGUUCCGUGUGCAAGUGUAUUGGACACAACAAGAACGGAUGGACAAAUUUGAAGAAAGAUCUCAGUAGUAGCCGUGGCAGUCAACCAAGUGUGCAAGCCAGCACUAGUACUGCAGUUGCUGCUGCUGUGAGAGAUGCAAAUACUUCAACAGAUGCUGAAGAGAUGUGAUACAAGUUCAACACACAACACGGAUUCAAGAGAUCUACGAGAUCAACAACAAUAGAGAAUCAAAGGCCCCACUCGGCUUUUCUAUAUUUUCAAGACAACAACAACAAUAUUCAACAAAGUAGAUGAAGAAUACAAGAUUACAAGGACUAUAGUGAAUCGAAGAGGCCCCACACGACUUCACUAUGUCAACACAUAAACAACAAGAUUACAACAAGAAGAAGGUUACGGGCACAUUAACAACAACAAGGAACCACAUAUUCAACGAGAUACAAGAUAAAUAGUUAGACCAAAUGAAGGGACAAUCUUAAGAACCCAAGAAUUGUUACACUCUUGGACCCUUAAACACUAUCCGUGACACAAACCUAACUCUAUGUUGACACAAGAGGGCCUUUACCUUAUCUAAACACCAACGUUUCAAGCCAAUAUGCAAACACAAGUGAAUUUUCACUUAUCUAGCCCUAGUUUUGGUUGGAGCUCUUGAGAGAGAAAUAAAGUGUUGCAAAUGUUACAAAUCUCAAAAUAUGAUCAACUAAGUGAAUAAAACCCUAAGUGGUUCUAUUUAUAUUACAUUCCCUAAAAUGGUUCUAUUUAUAUUACAUUCCCUAAAAAACUUAAAAUGACAAGGUGCCCUUUUAAUGAAUAAGGCUUCAAAGCCACCCCUUUAGUGCACACAUAGGGGUGAUUUUUGGCUUCUCCCGCACUUAAGAUCGGGCCUUCUCUCGAUUGCCUUUGACAUACACAAAAAGGGCCCAUCUACGAGAUCACACUUGUAUCAAGAUGCCUGUAAAUGCUAAAUCAAGCAACAGAAGGCCUGCAGGAAGGCCUUCAAAUGCUCACAGUGCAUCAAGAUAUUCAGAAAGGCCUGCAAAUGCUCACAGUGCACCAACAACAAUGGGUGCUACUGCUACACAAUCUACAACUCAGCAGUCUACUAGUGGUAUUGGUGCCCAAAAGAGGAAGACUAGUACAGCUUUGAGAGGUGGUGUAAAUCUGGCAUAUAAAGACCAAGGCAAAAGAAGGCAAAAGAAACAGGUUUUGGUGUGCUGUUUGGACCAAGUGUCAGUGUGGUAGAGAUGUCUGGAAAUACUGAUAGAGUAUUGCAUAGUCCAACCCUUAUUAGUUCAGUUCCAACCAAUAUUGACUUAGGUUUCAAACCAAAUGGACUAAGGUGGAGCUGUUGUAACUCAAAGACAGCUACAACAACAGAGUAACAAAAGAUCAAAGGCAAAAUCAUCUACAACCACUCAAUCCACAUCAAGCACUCAAGCAAGCAAGAAUCAGUCCACAACAAGCACUCAAGGAACACAUUAGUGUAAUUCUCUUUCUAUAUUAAUCCCAAGUGUUGUUAAGAUAAUUUUUUAAGACAUGGUUCAUUUCUCAUUUAAGAUGUUGUUAAGACAAGCAUUUUCAUGUCAACUCUUGUUAAGAUAUUAUAUGUUGCACAUUUUUAUGUUGGCAAUGGUGUUUGUCAUUAAAUUUUAAUUUCAUUUCAUUGUACAUACCAACUACAUAGAUCAAGCCAUCUUAAAUAAUACAAUAGAUAGAAAUCAGAUGACAACAAUAAUGAUAACAGUGAUAUCAAUACUAAUGCUUAGUCUUUUAAGUCUUCCGUGCCUUCCAUAUCUUCCCAGUCUUUGUUGUCUUCGUUGCCUUCGAUGUCUACCUUUAUAUUGUUCAUUUUCACCGGCCCAUCGAAAGAAUCCACAACCAGUACCAACCUGAUAUUUUUGACAGACCCAAAACAUUCUUCCUGAAUUGGUUGGUGUUCUUGACAUCUUAAGUUUCGCGUAAAAUGUAAUACCCCGAGAAAUUUUUCGUUGAAAUUUUGUGCGUAAACGUGUUGGG